CACAUCCAACCGAAACCGUUUCGGAACCGUUUGCCCGGUACUUGGGAUUGUAAAUUAUCAGUCAUGCACUUUUUAUUUCCGGACCAAAAUGUACUCAAUUAACAGGGAUGAAAAUCCUAAGCAUAUCGCGCGAUUGAUUCGCGAGCAUGGGUUCAAUCCGAUCGCUGAUCGGAUGAAACAUCUUUGACGGCGAUGAGACUCUGAUAAAUAUUAAACCAGCUCCCUCCGGAACUCCGAGGUGGUAGCGCAUUUGGGACGGCCACCGGAAAUGCCGAAUCCCGUCGAUGGAUCGGCAGAGGAAUAUGAAAGACUUUCAAUUUCUUCCUUGCUGCGUCCUUUGUCUGUUCAUCCGAUGAAGCGGGAUGGCUUAUUCAAUUCUAUUGAAGAAGUU
rnacentral:lncRNA from 1 species